UCCAACUGACGCUAAUGCUCGAAGGUGCGGGUAUCGAACAGGAUUAGAUACCCUGGUAGUCCGCACGGUAAACGAUGGAUGCUCGCUGUUGGCGAUAUACAGUCAGCGGCCCAGCGAAAGCGUUAAGCAUCCCACCUGGGGAGUACGCCGGCAACGGUGAAACUCAAAGGAAUUGACGGGGGCCCGCACAAGCGGAGGAACAUGUGGUUUAAUUCGAUGAUACGCGAGGAACCUUACCCGGGCUUGAACUGCAGCUGAACGAUCCAGAGAUGGUGAGGCCCUUCGGGGCAGCUGUGGAGGUGCUGCAUGGUUGUCGUCAGCUCGUGCCGUGAGGUGUCGGCUUAAGUGCCAUAACGAGCGCAACCCUUUUCUGAAGUUGCCAUCAGGUAGAGCUGGGCACUCUUCAGACACUGCCACCGUAAGGUGUGAGGAAGGUGGGGAUGACGUCAAAUCAGCACGGCCCUUACGUCCGGGGCUACACACGUGUUACAAUGGGAGAUACAGAGAGUAAGUGAAUGGUAACAUUCAUUCAAUCAAUAAAGUCUUCCUCAGUUCGGAUUGGGGUCUGCAACCCGACCCCAUGAAGCUGGAUUCGCUAGU
rnacentral:rRNA from 1 species